rnacentral:tRNA from 1 species
GCCCCAGUGGCUUAACCGGUAGAGCAAUUGCUUCGUAAGCAAUAGAUUGGGGGUUCAAAUCCCUCCUGGGGCU